UUCCAGCUCCAAUAGCGUAUAUUAAAGUUGUUGCGGUUAAAAAGCUCGUAGUUGAAUUUGUGUCCCGCACUGUCGGUUCACCGCCCGCGGUGCUAACUGGCAUGUUUGCGGGACGUCCUGCCGGUGGAUGUAAGUGGAGAUUUGAUUUCGGUCUUUUCUCUGCUCAUCCGACUUAUAAAUCCUGUCGCGGUGCUCUUAACUGAGUGUCGAGGCGGGCCGGCACGUUUACUUUGAACAAAUUAGAGUGCUCAAAGCAGGCUAAUUAAUGCCUGAAUAAUUAGUGCAUGGAAUAAUGGAACAGGACCUUGGUUCUAUUUUGUUGGUUUUCGGAACCCCAAGGUAAUGAUUAAUAGGGACAGAUGG
rnacentral:rRNA from 1 species